rnacentral:rRNA from 1 species
UCUUUUGUACGCCUGCCUUUNCAUGCAAGUCGAACGGCAGCGGGGGUAGCUUGCUACCUGCCGGCGAGUGGCGAACGGGUGAGUAAUACAUCGGAACGUGCCCUGUAGUGGGGGAUAACUAGUCGAAAGACUAGCUAAUACCGCAUACGACCUGAGGGUGAAAGUGGGGGACCGCAAGGCCUCAUGCUAUAGGAGCGGCCGAUGUCUGAUUAGCUAGUUGGUGGGGUAAAGGCCCACCAAGGCGACGAUCAGUAGCUGGUCUGAGAGGACGAUCAGCCACACUGGGACUGAGACACGGCCCAGACUCCUACGGGAGGCAGCAGUGGGGAAUUUUGGACAAUGGGGGCAACCCUGAUCCAGCAAUGCCGCGUGUGUGAAGAAGGCCUUCGGGUUGUAAAGCACUUUUGUCCGGAAAGAAAUCGCUUCGGUUAAUACCUGGAGUGGAUGACGGUACCGGAAGAAUAAGGACCGGCUAACUACGUGCCAGCAGCCGCGGUAAUACGUAGGGUCCAAGCGUUAAUCGGAAUUACUGGGCGUAAAGCGUGCGCAGGCGGUUGUGCAAGACCGAUGUGAAAUCCCCGGGCUUAACCUGGGAAUUGCAUUGGUGACUGCACAGCUAGAGUGUGUCAGAGGGAGGUAGAAUUCCACGUGUAGCAGUGAAAUGCGUAGAGAUGUGGAGGAAUACCGAUGGCGAAGGCAGCCUCCUGGGAUAACACUGACGCUCAUGCACGAAAGCGUGGGGAGCAAACAGGAUUAGAUACCCUGGUAGUCCACGCCCUAAACGAUGUCAACUAGUUGUUGGGGAUUCAUUUCCUUAGUAACGUAGCUAACGCGUGAAGUUGACCGCCUGGGGAGUACGGUCGCAAGAUUAAAACUCAAAGGAAUUGACGGGGACCCGCACAAGCGGUGGAUGAUGUGGAUUAAUUCGAUGCAACGCGAAAAACCUUACCUACCCUUGACAUGCCACUAACGAAGCAGAGAUGCAUUAGGUGCUCGAAAGAGAAAGUGGACACAGGUGCUGCAUGGCUGUCCGUCAGCUCGUGUCGUGAGAUGUUGGGUUAAGUCCCGCAACGAGCGCAACCCUUGUCUCUAGUUGCUACGAAAGGGCACUCUAGAGAGACUGCCGGUGACAAACCGGAGGAAGGUGGGGAUGACGUCAAGUCCUCAUGGCCCUUAUGGGUAGGGCUUCACACGUCAUACAAUGGUGCAUACAGAGGGUUGCCAAGCCGCGAGGUGGAGCUAAUCCCAGAAAAUGCAUCGUAGUCCGGAUCGUAGUCUGCAACUCGACUACGUGAAGCUGGAAUCGCUAGUAAUCGCGGAUCAGCAUGCCGCGGUGAAUACGUUCCCGGGUCUUGUACACACCGCCCGUCACACCAUGGGAGUGGGUUUUGCCAGAAGUAGUUAG